CCGGCACGGGUGAGUAACACGUAUCCAACCUGCCGUCUACUCUUGGCCAGCCUUCUGAAAGGAAGAUUAAUCCAGGAUGGCAUCAUGAGUUCACAUGUCCGCAUGAUUAAAGGUAUUUUCCGGUAGACGAUGGGGAUGCGUUCCAUUAGAUAGUAGGCGGGGUAACGGCCCACCUAGUCAACGAUGGAUAGGGGUUCUGAGAGGAAGGUCCCCCACAUUGGAACUGAGAUACGGUCCAA
rnacentral:rRNA from 1 species